rnacentral:misc_RNA from 1 species
AAUAUGGUUUUAAGAAAAGAUGAUGAGCUGUGGGUUACAUCUAUGCUGCUUUUAUUUCUGUCCGUGUUGUGAUCAAUGGAGAGACCUAAUUUAGGCUGUCCUAAAUAAUUUAAGUUUGUAUUUUGUUCCUAAAGAUAUUGCAAAUGGCUGUGUUGCUUGUAAUCUUAUGAACUGAGAUUUUAUGUUUUGGAGCAUGUUGUAUUUUACAGAGGGCAGCAGGCCCCUUCACUCUGUGGUGCAAUUAAUCAUCUAAGAGAUAGAGAGAGAGAGAGAGACUGGUCUUAGAGUGGGCGCUCUUUGUGUCUCUUGCUCAUGUUUGUGGUGGUCUUAACACCAUUUCCAGCUCAG